GACGAACGCUGGCGGCGUGCUUAACACAUGCGAGUCGAACGGAAAGGCCCUGCUUUUGUGGGGUGCUCGAGUGGCGAACGGGUGAGUAACACGUGAGUAACCUGCCCUUGACUUUGGGAUAACUUCAGGAAACUGGGGCUAAUACCGGAUAGGAGCUCCUGCUGCAUGGUGGGGGUUGGAAAGUUUCGGCGGUUGGGGAUGGACUCGCGGCUUAUCAGCUUGUUGGUGGGGUAGUGGCUUACCAAGGCUUUGACGGGUAGCCGGCCUGAGAGGGUGACCGGCCACAUUGGGACUGAGAUACGGACCAGACUCCUACGUGAGGCAGCAGUGGGGAAUAUUGCACAAUGGGCGGAAGCCUGAUGCAGCAACGCCGCGUGCGGGAUGACGGCCUUCGGGUUGUAAACCGCUUUCGCCUGUGACGAAGCGUGAGUGACGGUAAUGGGUAAAGAAGCACCGGCUAACUACGUG
rnacentral:rRNA from 1 species